CGAUGAUCAGGAGCUUGCUCCUGUGAUUAGUGGCGAACGGGUGAGUAACACGUGAGUAACCUGCCCCUGACUCUGGGAUAAGCGUUGGAAACGACGUCUAAUACUGGAUAUGAUCACUGGCCGCAUGGUCUGGUGGUGGAAAGAUUUUUUGGUUGGGGAUGGACUCGCGGCCUAUCAGCUUGUUGGUGAGGUAAUGGCUCACCAAGGCGACGACGGGUAGCCGGCCUGAGAGGGUGACCGGCCACACUGGGACUGAGACACGGCCCAGACUCCUACGGGAGGCAGCAGUGGGGAAUAUUGCACAAUGGGCGAAAGCCUGAUGCAGCAACGCCGCGUGAGGGAUGACGGCCUUCGGGUUGUAAACCUCUUUUAGUAGGGAAGAAGCGAGAGUGACGGUACCUGCAGAAAAAGCACCGGCUAACUACGUGCCAGCAGCCGCGGUAAUACGUAGGGUGCAAGCGUUGUCCGGAAUUAUUGGGCGUAAAGAGCUCGUAGGCGGUUUGUCGCGUCUGCUGUGAAAUCCCGAGGCUCAACCUCGGGCUUGCAGUGGGUACGGGCAGACUAGAGUGCGGUAGGGGAGAUUGGAAUUCCUGGUGUAGCGGUGGAAUGCGCAGAUAUCAGGAGGAACACCGAUGGCGAAGGCAGAUCUCUGGGCCGUAACUGACGCUGAGGAGCG
rnacentral:rRNA from 1 species